CUAAACAUAUUACAAUCCUAUUUUCAUCUCUAAGCUCAUCAUCCAAGAGUACUAAAGGAGAAAAACAACUAGGGUUGCAUAAUUAAGCUUGAAGAUCCGAUUUUAAGGAAAUUCCUCCGUCAAUCAUCAAGAAUCUUCCUUCUAAGGUAUGCGUAGUGUUCAUCUAUGGAUUCAAUUCAUUCAUAUAGUUCAAGAAUCAAUAUUUAAAAUAUAAAAGCUUGGUUGAUUGUGGUGAUAUGAUCAUACCCAUGAUGAUUCUUGAUUAUUUUCCUCUUUUUUAUUAUAAAGUAUGAUUUCUAUAUUGUUGGGUGUUGAUGAUCAUGUUGUUGAUAUUGGGUGAUUCCCAACAUGGAAUCUUUACAUGUUUUUGUGAAUUCAUAGUAUCAUAUGAGUUGGAAAUAUGUAAGUUUGGUUGUUCAUGAUGUAUAAUUUGAUGAAUUCAUCUAUGCUUAAGAUGUGCAUGUAAGGUGUUUGAUAAAAUGCCUAAAGAACUAGAAAGCAUGCAAUAUGGCUAAAUUGUGACUAAGUGAAGGAUUCAAGAUAUGCCCUUACAUUCCAAUGACUUCUAUGUUGUUAAUGUUUCUUGUAAAUGUUGUUGGAAUAGCCAUGAACUAUUCUUAUGAGAUUAUGCUAUGUUUACUUGCAAAUCCUACUUAUGAACAAGAUGUAUGAUAACCAUGCAAUCCACAUGAACUUCCAUGCUAUUAGUGUGUAUUGCCAAUAUGAUUAUGCAACCAACAUGAUAUUAAGAUUGUGUAAGUACUUCCAUGUGAUAUGAGACCAUUUCCAUGCAAUACAUUGUUGAUAACCAUGCUUAGUAUGAGAUCCCUACUUAUGAUAUUAUAAAUUAUUGACUCUACUCAUAGGAUCAAGUCAGUCAUGUAUGUCAGUUUCCUUCCAUCGAGUCGUAGGGGUAGUUUUACCCAAAAACUAUAGCUGUGUGCCUAGAUCCAUGACAUAUUUCACGAUAUCCAAACUCAAGCUAUGAUUCCAUAGACUUCAGUCCACCAUGUGACUCAGGAAAACCUCAUGAUCUUAGUCAGCUGUUAGAUAUCAGUAACAUUCCACCAUUCAAUGGAAUUCAGUAAGUUUAAGUCAUGUACAGUCAGUUAUUCAUGUCCAGUCCCUCCAGAUGGGAGUAGAGUUUAGCACCGAGUGAACCCAAGGUUGGGAACUCACCUAUCAGUUCAGGGUGUGAUUCUUAGUAGUAAUCCUUGUGUUCUAGAACUACGUAGCCAUCGUAGCUUGAGACAUCUUAACCCAUCAUCUCAGGGUUGAUGAGGUGGCUUAACCCAUAAGUUUAGGGUUCCCACCAUUGUCAUUAAGUACCCGCCAGAUAAGGGUUACUCACAGCUAUCCUUACGAGUGGCGCAGUAUUGACACCCCUCCAGUUGGGGCACAGAUUGGACCCCAGCUUAGCCAUAACAGUAUACAUAGGGCAUAUUGGUUAAACCCUACUUCCCAUAGUUUUAGUAUCAGUCUCAAUAAAAAAACUCAGAUAGUUUUUUAGAUUUCAGUAUAUAUAGGACUGCCAGAUAAAGUCAUCCAUGUUAUCAGUUUCAGUAUUAGUCAGGGCAGUUAUCAGUAAACCAUGUAUUUGGUUACAAGUCAGGCUAUUACGUAUUCAUGGUCCUAGUUUCUAUAUAUUUGUGUUUGUACUCCCACGUUCAUAUUAGUCAGUCAGUGUUGUUCAUGCAUGAAACCCUUUAUGUUCAGCCUACCUUCCUCGUAUACUCAGUACUCCAGUUGUACUGACGCAUUUGUGCUAUGUUACUUUCUAUUCAUGUUACACCAUAGGUUCUAAGACACGAGCUCCAUCCCAGCAGUAGCAGUAGCGUUCCAGUCGCAAAGACACAGU
rnacentral:lncRNA from 1 species